UUACGGCCAUAUCACGCUGAAACACCGGUUCUCGUCCGAUUAUCGACGUUAAGGAACGUCGAGGUUGGUCAGUAUCUAGCUGGGUGACCUCUUGGGAAUACCAUGUGCUGUAAG